rnacentral:lncRNA from 1 species
UUUAUGAUAAUUUGUGUUUUCUUUUAGUUCAUUCUUAUACAAUUCCUUUAAUAUCGAAAUUAAAAAACAAAGUACAUAAUUUAUUGAGUUGGCUGUUGUAACAUAUAGUUAUGACAUUAUUCAUGUUCCAAAAUAAUGGAAAGCCAAUCCAAGAUGAUUGAUCUAUAUGUUCAAGAUGCUUGAAAGGAGUGUCAUGAGUCUUUUUAUGGUACCAUUUGCAUAUUAGUGUAAGAGUUAUUAUUCUUAAACUAACUUUUUUCUUCUUUUUUUAUUUUUGCGGAAUUAUAGGUGAGAAUCAAGUUUAAUCGAACUAUCCUUGGGACUGAUUUUUACUGGAAGAUAACCUCAUAUUUCAUAAUGUCAUUCAUUGUUGGCAUACAAAAGCUCAAUCAUUAAACAACUUAUGAAAUAAAAGGGUGGUCGAUUAAGAGAGGAAGAAUGGAUUCAAAAGUUGAUCUCCACUUCCCACGCUUUUGAAGGCUUCAAUCAUGACUCAAAGAACAAGUUGGUUUAUUUAAAGGUUUUGGAAUCUCCUUGCAUGUUGUGGAAGUGUAUUUAGCUUCUAAAUAAAAGUAGAAUUCAAAUCCAGUAUCAACUUUCAAUUACUACAAAUUGCCACUCAAAUCUCCUUACAACCUUUCUAUUAGUUGUUUCUUUAUGCUUCUUCAAUGAUACUAUUAACAUUAUUUUAUGUUACUUUUGAUGGAAUCAUUUUCUAAUAUUUGUCUAUUUGGAUAUUGUAAUUUUUGGAUGAAACAUGAGUUGUUUCUUCUACUCUUCUACUCUAUUGUACUUCAUCUUUCUUACAUGGGCAUGCCCAAGAUUCUUGUGAAUCAUGUAAAUUUAGUGAUUGUUGCUUAUAUUUGAUAUUAAGAUUUGUUUAUAAUUCUUUUUUUAAUAUUUAUUUUAUUUACUUUCUAAUACUUUGUUUUUAUUGGGGGCUUCUCUCAGGUUUGUGAUCAAAGUGAGAUGCAUGAAAUUUUAAAAUCCAAAUUAGGAAAGAAAUCAGUCUUCUAUAAUAUAUAUUGCAAUGAGAAACUAUGUUCUUUAAAGCUUUGGUACAACAUUAUUUUUUUCAAGGAAAAUUUUGAAAUUUUGUGUUUUAGAACUUAUUUUUAGAAAAUGUGAAAAACAUAAUAAAAAUGUUUGGACUAUAAUUCAAGAGGGUUGUAGUUAAUCUAAGUCUAACUUAAUCUCUUUUUUUAAAAAAAAAAAUAGGUUUAUCAAGUUGUCCAGGGUAAAAAUCUACAUUUUUUUUAACUUUAUUUAAUAUAUUUAUAUUAAAAUUAAAAUAAUUAAUGAGACUAUUUCAAGAUAAUAAUUAAAAAAUUAAAAAAUAAAUUUAUAUGUCUUUUUAGAAAAAUGAGAUAAGAGUAAUUACAAUUUAAUAUUUUUUUCCUAUAAAAUUAAAAAAUAAAUCAAAUGAAUAUUAUUAGUGUUGAGUUAUGUAAAACCUAAUUAUACCAUACACUUUCACCAUAACAAUGACCAACCUUCGUGGUGCUAAGGUUAGUGAGUGUGGGGGUUCCAGACAUAAACCCCAAUAGGUUGAGAUUAGGUUGUGGCCACAUGGAAAAUUGUAUAGUAUCAUUAGGUUACACUCAAUUUAAUAAACCUAAUCUUAUUUUUCUAAACUUAGGUUGAAAUUAAAUUAGUUAGAAUAUAUUCAAGGUGGUCGAAUUAAUUAAGUCAUGUAAUUCGUAAUCCAUUCAUAAUGUUUUUUUUCUUAUAUAUUUAUACCAAAAUCUAAAUAGUAAGUUGGAUACAAUUACGAUCCAAUAACAAAAAUGUAAAAAGAAAUUUAUAUAUCCUUAUAAAAAAUUAAAAAGUUAUAUAAUAGAAUUAUAAUUUGAUAUUUUUUUUCUUAAAAAUAAAAAAGAGAAUAAAUAAAAUGAACACUUUUAAUGUAAGAUUAUAUAAAUUAUAAAUAAUAUAAAAUUAUUAAAUUAGAUUCAUCAUCCAAACCUUAGUAUGAGUGUAACUCAAAUUAAGUUCAAAUCGAAAAAAACUUUACCUAAACUCAACAACUUUAAAAAUGAUUAUCUGCACCCGUCUAAAAGUAGGAUUUUUUUAGAGUCCUAUUUCUCUAUUUUUAACUUAAUUUUAUUUUUUUUCAACGGAAUUAUAGAUAAGGAUCAAGUUUAAUCAAACUAUCCUUGGGAUUGGCUUUUACUGGAAAACAACCUCAUACUUCAUAAUGGCAUUCAUUGUUGACACACAAAAGCUUAAUCAUUAAACAAUUUAUGAAAUAAGAGAAUGGUUGAUUAAAAGAUGAAGAAUGGAUUCAAAAAUUGAUCUCCACUUCUGGCACUUUUGGAAGCUUCAAUCAUGCCUCAACGAACCAUUUGGUUUAUUUAAAGCUUUUGGAAUCUCCUUGCAUGUUGUGGAAGUGUAUUUAGCUUCUAAAUAGAAGUAGAAUUCAAAUCCAGUAUCAACUUUCAAUUACUACAAAUUGCCACUCAAAUCUCCUUACAACAUUUCUAUUAGUUGUUCUUUUAUGUUUCUUCAAUGAUACAAUUAGCAUAAUUUUAUGUUACUUUGAUGGAAUCAUUUUCUAAUAUUUGUCUAUUUGGAGAUUGUAAUUUUUGGAUGAAACUUGAAUCUUUUCUUCUAUUCUUCUACUCUAUUGUACUUCAUCUUUCUUACAUGCAUGCCCAAGAUUCUUGAAAAUCAUGUCAAUUUAGUGUUUGUUGUUUGUAUUUGAUAUUAAUAUUUGUUUAAAAUUCUUGUUUUUAAUAUUUAUUUUCUAAUACUUGGUUUGUUUUUGUUUUUAUAAGGGGCUUCUCUCAUGUUUGUGAUCAAAGUGAGAUGUAUGAAUUUGAAAAUCCAAAUUAGAAAAGAAAAUCAAUCUUCUACAAUAUAUAUAGCAAUGAGAAACUAUUUUCUUUAAGGGAGAAUUAUGUUUUGGGGGUAGAUGGACCCCCAAAUUAACAAAAGGUCCAUGUAACUCUUCAAAUUGAGCCCAAGACCCAAUGAAAGUAUGGAAAUUGAGUUGAAGGAUAUCAUCCUUCAGUAUUUCCAAAAAUACCAUUUGUUAAUUUUGAGAAAAAAAAUUAAUAUUUUUUAAAAAUACUUUUAUUUAAUUUAAUAUUUUUUAUUUAAUUUAAUAUUUUUAAAAAAUACUUUUAUGUAAUUUAAUAUUUUUUAAAAUAAUUUUAUUUAAUUUAAUAUUUUUAAAAAAAAAUUUAAUUUAAUAUUUUUGAAAAAAAAUUAUUUAAUUUAAUAUUUUUGAAAACUACUUUUAUUUAAUUUAGUAUUUUUGAAAAAAAAAUUAUUGAAAAAAAAUUAUUUAACUUAAUUUUAUAAAAUAUUUUAUAUGUGUUCUUAAAGGGUAUAUUUGUCCGUUACUAUUUCAUAUCCUUCAACUCAAUUUGAAGAGUUAUAUGGGCAUUUUGUUAAUUUGGAGGUCCAUCUACCCCCAAAAAUAAUUCUCCCUUUCUUUAAAGCUUUGGUACAACACUUUCUUUUUUUUUGGAAAUUUUUUAAAUUUAGUGUUUUAGAACUUAUUUUUAGAAAAUGUAAAAAAACAUAGUAAAAAUGUUAGGGCUAUAAUUUGAUAGGGUUAUAGUCAAUCUAAGUCUAAUUCAAUCGCAUUUUUUUAAAACAAGUUUAUCAAGUUGUUAGCAAUGAAAAUCUACAUUCUUUUUUAACUUUAUUUGAUAUAUUUAUGUUAAAAUUUAAAUAAUUAAUGAGACUAUUUCAAGAUAAUAAUUAAACAUAAAAAAUAAAUUUUUAUAUCUUUCUAGAAAAAUGAAAUAAAGUAAUUAUAAUUUAAUAUUUUUUCCUUAUUAUUAAAUAAAUUAAUUAAUUAAAUAUUAUUAGUGUUGAGUUAUGUGAAGCCUAAUUAUACUACACACUUUUCACCAUAACAAUCGACUGACCUUCAUGGUGUUAAGGUCGACAUGUGUGGGGGUUUGAGGCAUAAGCCCCAAAAGAUUGAGAUUAGGUUGUAAUAGUAGAGAAAAGUUUAUAGUAUGAUUAGGCUCCACAUAAUUUAACAUAAUCUAAUUUUAUUUUUCUAAACUUAGGUUAAGAUUAGAUUGGUUGGAUUAUAUUUGGUUUGGUCAAAUUGAUCGAGUCUUAUAAUUCAUAAUCCAUUAGCAAUGGUUUUUUAUUUAUUAAUUUUUGUUUAUUUAUACCAAAAUAUAAAUUGUAAGUUGGAUACAAUGUCAAAAUAAUAACAAAAAUGUAAAAAUAAAUUUAAAUAUCUUUAUAAAAAAAGGUUAUAUAAUAGAAUUAUAUUUGAUAUUUUUUUCUCAAAAAUAAAAAGAGAGAAUAAAUAAAAUAAAUACUUUUAAUAAUAAAUUAUUAUUAUUAUUAUUAUUAUUAUUAUUAUUAUUAUUACAAACUUAAUUCAAUUGCACUCAACAUGAUUAAGCCUUUUUAUUUUCAUUUUUUAAAAUAAUAAAUCGUUUUCACUUUAAUUUUCAAGCAAAGAUUACAAAAUUUGAACACCAUUAUAAGCAAUUUUUAUUUAACCCUUCAAUAAGAAAGAAAAUUAAUCUAACAAUUUUUAAGAAAGCUUAUUUAUGAACUUCUCAAAUUAAUUUUUAUUAUAUUCUUCUUCCAAUCUAAACCAGCUAAUAGAUGCCCUUUUAUCCAUAUAAUAUUUUACAUGAGAUGUUCUUCUUGAUGCUGAGGAGCAGCAGGGCCAAAGCCAUGAAUUGCAGCAAGGAGGAAUAGCAAGGCAGGUAGGUGACUUUAUUGUGGGUAUUGGGGGGUUUAGGCAAGACCACCCUGAUGCAUGAAAUUUUAAAAUAGAAAUUAGGCAAGAAAAUUUAGUCUCCGGCAAUAUAUAUAGCAAUGAGACACAUAGAUGGUUGUCUGGGGUUUCUGGUUUGUAGAGAGAGAAAGGGAGGUUUAUAGAGAGAGAAGAUCGACUAGGUUGGGGUUUGAAAUUGAAUUUUGGGCAGGAUCCAAAACAGAUGGUAGAGAUUGGAUCCUGGGGAUCUGACAAUGGAGUUUGGAGUUUGAAUUUGUCAUAGGCUAUAACACACUGGCAAUGUUAAAGCCCAAAUUUAAUGGGCUGGGAUAUGUACUUCUCACUUUUGGGCUUUGGUCCAACAGCCCAACUUCUUUUAUUUUUUAAAAAUUAAUUAAAUACGUGAUUAAACAUAUCCUUUUUUUUUUUUAUCUAUUUGAUUAAUGGGAUAUAAUAUAAUUCAUGGUUUGGGAUCUUUGGUGCUUAUCAAAUUUUGUUCUUGGAUUUUUUUUAAAGUGGGACAAGUAAGUACAUACUUUUUACUUGAGGGGUAACUAGCAACUUUUCCAUAAUUAAAUUUUACAUGACUAUAAUAUAUUUAUUGGAAAUAAUUUUUUCUCCCUAAAAUUUUUUAUUUAAUUGCUACAAAAUAAUUUUAAUUAUUGAAAUUAUUUUAUUGUUACUCUAAUUAAAUUACGGUGGGCUUUGGGUUUGGGUUUUGGACAAACCUAAGGCCAACUUAAACCUAAUAUAUAUUUUACAUAAAUUUCAAACUAUACGUAUAUGAUAGUUUUGUUAUUUUGAGUGUCAUAAGGGAAUGAUAAGAAGCUGAGCUUGAAUUGGAUAGCUUGGAUUGGAUUCGACAAAUGAUAAGAAGUCGAGAUUCACUUUCUUUUCCUUUUUCUAAUAUAUUUCUUUCACUUUUCCUUUUUAGUUUUUUUAAUAAAAUUUCAUCCUACCCCACUUUCAAAAAUAAAAAGUUAAAAAAUGACUGGCUUGAGACUGUUCAAAAUCUAAUUUUUUUUUUUUAAAGGUGAGGAAGAUGAGUUAUGCUUUCUUUGUACAAGCCCACUCUUCACGUAGUUCCUUUUAUGAUAUACUAUCUAAUACUUUUUUCAUUAGUUUCCAUCUCCAUUAUCUUAAAAAUUCAAAUACAAAUUAUCAAAUUUACAAAAGGUAUAAACAAUUGUGAAAUAAUAAGAUGUUACCAAUGCUACAACAAUAUCCACAAUGAUAAUACUUCGAGUACUAUAAAUUUAUUAGCUUUAAUUUUUUUGUUCUUUUUAAUUUGUAAAGAAAUGCGGUGAUAUUAUACAAGUCUUUUUGUAAGGUGACUAAGGUUUUUCACACAUGAAACUAUACCAUAAAUGUAUAAACUAUUUAAAUAUAAAAAUUAAGGAUUAUGUUAAGUUCUUGGAUAUUACUAAGAAAUUGACAAAAAAAAAAUAGUUAGAAAAAUGAUUAAUUUUUUUAUAUCUGCAUGUUAUAGAAAAAUAUGAUGAAAACAUAUUAAGAAAAAUAGGAGAAAAUUGCUAAAAGUUUUCCCGACCUUUUUCCUUAUAUAAAGGUGAGUAAAACUUGAUGAAAGUGUAUUUCUUAAAAUUUUAAUUUUUUAUUUUUCUCUCAACUUUUUCAUGAAUAUGUUAUUAACAUAAAAAAAAAUAUAGUAAAAGGAAAAUAUGAUUUUACAAAAUUUAUCCAAAGUAAAAAAAUAAACGAUGCAUAAUAAUUUUCUUUUUUCCUGGCUUUAUUCUUACAAUUUACUUUUGAUGGAAGUAAAUUAUUUUGCGUCAACUCAAAUUCAGCCUUUUCAAAAAGUAAUGGGAAUCCAAUGAAUUUUUUCAAAUUCAUUUUAAUUUAUGACCCACCAUGUGAAGGAGUAAUCAUUUUCUAGGUGAUAGGAUUCCAAAUCAAUUAUUUCAAAUUCACAUUGCUUUAUAGCCCACUUUUUCAAAAGUUGCUAUCAUCAUUUCCUUGCAGGCUCUUUGCCCUGUCUCCCACUAAUUCCUUGGGAAAGAACAAGACUUCUUUCUUCCAAGCAUGCAAAUUCCAAAAUGAUAUUAUCUACUAUUUUAAAUCUAAGAACCCUACCUAUAUAUAUGUGAUGGGAUCCACUACUUUUCAAGCAGGCUCCCAACUUCCAUGGAAACUCUAGGGCCUCUCGACAUCUUUCUAUACAUUUAUUUAUUUUUUAAAACUAUUAUUUUCAUAACAUUGCUUUAAAGAAGUUGUUUUUUUUUCCAUAUUUUUCUAAAAUAAUAGUAAAAAAGUUUUGAUAUACUAUCUAAUACUUUUUUCAUUAGUUUCCAUCUCCACUAUCUUAAAAAUUCAAAUACAAAUUAUCAAAUUUACAAAAGGUAUAAACAAUUGUGAAAUAAUAUGUUACCAAUAUCCACAAUGAUAAUACUUCAAGUACUAUAAAUUUAUUAGCUUUGAUUUUUUUUCUUUUUAAUUUGUAAAUAAAUGUGGUGAUAUUAUACAAGUCUUUUUGUAACGCGACCCCCUUCUCGCGGUUAAGGUAACGACUUCGGGCAUGGCCAGCUCCCAUAGUGUGACGGGCGGUGUGUACAAGGCCCGGGAACGAAUUCACCGUUGUAUGGCUGAUCGACGAUUACUAGCAAUUCCGGCUUCAUGCAGGCGAGUUGCAGCCUGCAAUCCGAACUGAGGACGGGUUUGAAUUCCCGAUAGAAAGAGAUUUCGCGAACGCAAAAGCCUUUAAUGCGGCCCGUCAUCCCUUCCUUUUGGAAAGCUUUCCAUUCUUCCAAGUGAUGAAGCAAGGGAAGGCAGUAGUGGGGAAUUUUCCGCAAUGGGCGAAAGCCUGACGGAGGAAUGCCGCGUGGAGGUAGAAGGCCCACAGGUCGUGAUUAGGAUCAGAAUGACAAAUACAAUAGAUUUUAAACUAUACCAUAAAUGUAUAAACUAUUUAAAUAUAAAAAUUAAGGAUUAUGUUAAGUUCUUGGAUAUUACUAAGAAAUUGACAAAAAAAAUUGUUAGAAAAAUGAUUAAUUUUUUUAUAUCUGCAUGUUAUAGAAAAAUAUGGUGAAAACAUAUUAAGAAAAAUAGGAGAAAAUUGCUAAAAGUUUUCCUGACUUUUUUCCUUAUAUAAAGGUGAGUAAAACUUGAUGAAAGUGUAUUUCUUAAAAUUUUAAUUUUUUAUUUUUCUCUCAACUUUUUCAUGAAUAUGCUAUUAACAUAAAAAAAAAAUAUAGUAAAAGGAAAAUAUGAUUUUACAAAAUUUAUCCAAAGUAAAAAAAUAAACGGUGCAUAACAAUUUUCUUUUUUCUUGGCUUUAUUCUUAUAAUUUACUUUUGAUGGAAGUAAAUUAUUUUGGGUCAACUCAAAUUCAGCCUUUUCAAAAAGUAAUGGGAAUCCAAUGAAUUUUUUCAAAUUCAUUUUAAUUUAUAACCCACCAUGUGAAGGAGUAAUCAUUUUCUAGGUGAUAGGAUUCCAAAUCAAUUAUUUCAAAUUCACAUUGCUUUAUAGCCCACUUUUUCAAAAGUUGCUAUCAUCAUUUCCUUGCAGGCUCUUUGCCCUGUCUCCCACUAAUUCCUUUGGAAAGAACAAGACUUCUUUCUUCCAAGCAUGCAAAUUCCAAAAUGAUAUUAUCUACUAUUUUAAAUCUAAGAACCCUACCUAUAUAUAUGUGAUGGGAUCCACUACUUUUCAAGCAGGCUCCCAACUUCCAUGGAAACUCUAGGGCCUCUCGACAUCUUUUUAUACAUUUAUUUAUUUUUUAAAACUAUUAUUUUCAUAACAUUGCUUUAAAGAAGUUUUUUUUUUUCCAUAUUUUUCUAAAAUAAUAGUAAAAAAGUUUUGAAAAUUAAUUUCCUUUUUCUCACUUUUUUUUCAAUGGAUAUCUAGACAAAAGAAAUUUUUUUUAUAAAUUUUUCUUCUCCUUUUCUUUUAUUUUUAAAAUUUUUUACUUUAUUUUUAUUUUUUUCUAACUUUCUGAAAAUUGUUAUAUAAGCAGCCAAACAAGACUUCUUCCUUCCAAGCACGCAGACCAUAUUCCACAAUAAUAUGAUAUAUUAUAGGAAACUUCUAUGGUGCUGAGGGAGGUACCAUACCUCAGAUUUUUUAUAGUCGUUGGAUGCAAGAGUUUAAAUCUCAGCCAUUGAAAAGAAAAAGAAAAAAAGGAAAAAGGAAAACUGGCUACCUGUUGUCUCCCCCUCUCAGGCCAUUUUCCCGUUUGUUCCCUCUUUCCCGUUUGUUCCCUCUCUUCCCUCAUUUUCUACCUGUUCUCUCCCCCUCUUAGCCCCUCUCUCUUCUCCUCCAUAGUCGAGCGUCUUCUCCUCUAGCUGUGUCUCGUGCUCUCGUCUCCAGCUGUGUCUCGUGCUCUCAUCUCCACACUCCUCCAUAGCCGAGCGUCUUCAGCCCCUCUCUUCUCCUCCAUAGCCGAGCAUCUUCUCCUCCAGCCGUGUCUCGUGCUCUCAUCUCCAGCUGUGUCUCGUGCUCUCAUCCCCACACUCCUCCAUAGGCGGCCGUCUUGUCCUCCAUAGUCGGUUGUGUCCCCGUGCUCUGAUCUCCACUCAUUCUCGACAGCCGAGUCUAGAAAUCCUAUCUUCGGAAGAAACGCAAGAGGCAAAUGCGAGACAAUGAAGAAAUGAGGGAAAGAAAGCACUGAAGAAGGAGAUAGAGACCCCUCUCACGAUUAAUCUUCAGUCGAGUUUCUGUUUUCUCCAUUUUUUAUCGAGUUUGCCGAUAUUUUCCUCUCUUCUCCAUACUCGACUCUUCUCAGGUAUCUCCAUCGACUGUUAUUUUCAGGUGCUUUAAGUUGUCUUUGUGUAUUGUUGGAUGUUUUUGUGUUAUUGGGUGUUUUCGGGUAAGAUAUUGUAGCUGUUCCGGGGGACAUCUUUUUGAGUUCUGGCUUUUUUAGUAUCCCCUUUGAUUAUGUCCAUAUUUAGUUUUCAUAUUUGGGGUUUUUUCGGGUUUUGAAGUAAAGAGUACGAUAUUCCCGCUCCCUCCCUCCUAUCCAUAACCCUUGUAUUUUGUUCAUAUUUUAUAUUUUGUUUAAGGGGUGUUUUUGGCUUUUAAAUUUCCUGGUUUGAAGACCCGAAUUGAAGACAUAGCUGGAAGAAAAAGAAGAAAAAAUGUGAGUAUUGAUAAUGUGUUUUACAAUAUUAUAGCCAUUAUAUUUCAUGCUUUUUGUGAGAUUUAUAGAUUGAUGACAUUAAUGAAAAUAAUGUGGUUAGAUCCAUAAUUGUAGAUUGAAAAAGAUUGAUAUGCUAAAUUUGUGACCAUUUAAAAUGUACAUAGAUUUAGGGAAGAUUUUGUAGUGGUGGUGAAAGUAUGUUUGAUUUAUUAUAUUUGAAAUCAUAUUAUAAAAAUUGACUUAAAUGCUUUGAUUUAAUUUUUAGGAGCGAACGCGAUGGACUUGAAGUUGUUAGAAAUCCAAAGAGGCCUAUCGGCGCUUGGAUACAUUACUAGUAAGGGAAAAUAGAAAUAUGUAAAAUAAUAUGUUUUUUAAUGUAUUUUUUGUGGUUGUUAUUGUUAAAUUUGUUUGAAAUUGUUUUGUAGUAAUGAUCAAUUAGCCAUGAUGAAAGAGAAGGAUAAAGGAGUGAAGAUAAAUGAUGAUGUAAGGAGUAAUUUUGCUAGUCUAAUAUAAUUACAUUUUAAAAUUAGAAUUUAAAUUAUGUGACCAAUUAAUGUAGUUGAGGAAAAAAUUGGGCAAGAAGUGGAAUGCACUUUCAAAAGUAGAAAAAGAAAAUUUCAUGGCAAAGUCCAAAGAAAGUUCAAAACAAUAUUCACUUCAAAAGGGUGUAGUUCCAAAGGUAAUUUUUUUUUGUAAUGAAUAUUUAAUUUCUUUACUUAUGUAUUUGUUGGAAAUUAUAUUAAUGUAAACAUGUUUGAUGUUUGUGUAUCUUUUCAGUUAUAUCUUCAGACUCGAUGCUCCCCCGAGCGAGUUAUUAGAGUGAUUGAAAAUUUAGAACCAAAGCAAAAGGCAGCCAUAGAAGAAAUAGGAUUUGGUAGCCUCUUGCAACUUCGAUGUAGGAAAAUUGAUCAUGGGUUAUGUCUUUGGUUGAUAAAUAGUUUUAAUCCGAACACUUAUAUGUUACAGUUGUAUAAUACUUGUAUCAAAUUAUCCCCCAUUGAUGUUGAAUUCAUUAUGGGAUUGAGGGCAAGAGGGUUCAAGAUUGGCAUGAACAAAGAUGUUGGUCAUAAGAAUGAUUUAUGUAAAAAAUAUUGUGAUAAAAAAGGGCGAUUGCCAUUAGUGAUGUUAGAAAAUCAAAUUAGGGAGGAUAAAGAGGGUGGAAACGAUUUUAAAGUUCGUUUUGUAUUAUUUGUGUUGGGUGCAUUAUUGUGCCCAACAAUGAAGCUUUUUGUGAAUCGCUCUUUCUUACAUCUUGUGGAAGACAUCGAUUAAUUAAAGAAGAUGAAUUGGGCAGAAUUUGUGUUGUCCUAUCUUGUGCACGGGAUUGAAGAGUUUAAGAAGAAACAACAAAGUGGGGUUUACGGUUGCUUAUUGUUUUUAAUGGUAAUUAAUUUACAUCAUAGUGAAUUACGAUUUUGUUUUAAUAUAAUUUAUGAACUAACUAUAUAUCUAUGUCAAAUAUACUCGUAGUUAUUCUACCACGAGCAUAUAUCGUUUGAAGAGAAAUUUCUACCGCUAUAUACUUGACUUUCUCCUCGGAUUACUGCUUGGGGAGAUGAUGAAGUAUUGGACAGGAAACGAAGAUUGAAAAAACUUAGUGGAUAUGCAAAUGAGAAUGUAAGUUAUAGUUUUGAAAGUCGUUUGCUAUUGAUUUAAGUUUUUAGUGAUUUAAAAUCUGAUAUGUAUUAUAUUUUGAUGAAUAUAUUGUAGCUCAAAAUAUGGGUGAUAGAAAAUGAGAUAAGGGAUUGCGUUGAUGGAAAUGCAACGAUAAUGGCGAGUGAGAAUGAGGACGAUGAGAAAUUUGUAUCCAAUCUAAACAAAGAUGUUAUUAAACGAAUAAGUGUUUUACAAUAUUCAUCGUGACUAUCUAUAUUAGCAUUGAACCUUUGUAUUAUGAUGUUAUUAAUCACGUUCGUAUAUAUCACUAGGUUGAUGGUGGGAACUUAAUGGAGAUGGAUAAAACCUUUCAACAAUUAAAGACACAUCUAAUUGAUAUGGCGUAUGGUGCAAGUAGUCGUAGUUGUGAUCAAAUUUUGGCUAAAUUUGAGGAGAAUUAUACUACAGUGAAAGGUCUCUUCCUUAGGUCAAGCGGAAAACCUUUGAGAAUGCACGAGGAAGGAACGAAGAAUGACAUGCUCUCAUGCGAGAGAAGUUUGGAAGAUACGAACAAUAUGAAUGUGAAUGAACAUUAUCUUCACACUUUGUCAAAUGACAAGUUAUGCACCGAGGACUUGAAUGAAAGAAUGAGAUGCAUGUGCUACNNNNNNNNNNNNNNNNNNNNNNNNNNNNNNNNNNNNNNNNNNNNNNNNNNNNNNNNNNNNNNNNNNNNNNNNNNNNNNNNNNNNNNNNNNNNNNNNNNNNNNNNNNNNNNNNNNNNNNNNNAAUACUAAAAAAUUCACAAGGGUACGAAGAAUGUGAGGAAUCCUCACAUUCUUCGUACACUCCCAAAUCUCCAUUUCUUUGGACUUUUUAAAAUUUUUUGGGGCUUCAUAUGGCUUGGAUGUUGCUUGAAUAGGUCCGUUACACUUAGAAGGUGGUCAAAUGAUAUCCGAAAAAAUCGAAAUCCAAAAAUACUAAAAAAUUCCCUCACAUUCUUCGUACCCUCCCAAAUCUCCAUUUAUUUGGACUUUUUAAAAUUUUUUGGUGCUUCAUAUAAUAGGUCCGUUACACUUAGAAGGUGGUCAAAUGAUAUCCGGAAAAAUCAAAAUCCAAAAAUACUAAAAAAUUCACGAGGGUACGAAGAAUGUGAGGAUUCCUCACAUUCUUCGUACCCUCCCAAUCUCCAUUUCUUUGGACUUUUUAAAAUUUUUUGGGGCUUCAUAUGGCUUGGAUGUUGCUUGAAUAGGUCCAUUACACUUAGAAGGUGGUCAAAUGAUAUCCGGAAAAAUCAAAAUCCAAAAAUACUAAAAAAUUCACAAGGGUACGAAGAAUGUGAGGAAUCCUUACAUUCUUCGUACCCUCCCAAAUUUCCACUUCUUUCGACUUUUUAAAAUUUUUUGCGCCAUCAUAUGGCUUGAAUGUUGCUUGAAUAGGUCCGUUACACGUAGAAGGUGGUCAAAUGAUAUCCGUAAAAAUCAAAAUGGAAAAAUACUAAAAAAUUCACAAGGGUACGAAGAAUGUGAGGAAUCCUCACAUUCUUCGUACCCUCCCAAAUCUCCACUUCUUUGGACUUGUUAAAAUUUUUUGGGCCAUCAUAUGGCUUGAAUGUUGCUUGAAUAGGUCCGUUACACUUAGAAGGUGGUCAAUGACAUCCGGAAAAAUCGAAAUCGAAAAUACUAAAAAAUUCACAAGGGUACAAAGAAUGUGAGGAAUCCUCACAUUCUUCGUACCCUCCCAAUCUCNCUUCUUUGGACUUUUAAAUUUUUUGGACAUCAUAUGGUUGGAUGUUGCUUGAAUAGGUCCGUUACACUUAGAAGGUGGUCAAAUGAUAUCCGGAAAAAUCAAAAUCCAAAAAUACUAAAAAAAUUCAAAAGGAUACAAAGAAUGUGAGGAAUCCUCACAUUCUUCAUACCCUCCAAAAUCUCCAUUUCUUUGGACUUUUUAANNNNNNNNNNNNNNNNNNNNNNNNNNNNNNNNNNNNNNNNNNNNNNNNNNNNNNNNNNNNNNNNNNNNNNNNNNNNNNNNNNNNNNNNNNNNNNNNNNNNUCAAAUGAUAUCCGGAAAAAUCGAAAUCCAAAAAUACUAAAAAAUUCACAAGGGUACGAAGAAUGUGAGGAAUCCUCACAUUCUUCGUACCCUCCCAAAUCUCCACUUCUUUGGACUUUUUAAAAUUUCUUGGGCCAUCAUAUGGCUUGGAUGUGUGCUUGAAUAGGUCUGUUACACUUAGAAGGUGGUCAAAUGAUAUCCGGAAAAAUCGAAAUCCAAAAAUACUAAAAAAUUCACAAAGGUACGAAGAAUGUGAGGAAUCCUCACAUUCUUCGUACCCUCCCAAAUCUCCACUUCUUUGGACUUUUUAAAAUUUUUUGGGUCAUCAUAUGGCUUGGAUGUUGCUUGAAUAGGUUGAUUCCACUUAGGCGGUGUUCGAAUAAGUCCCGAAAAAUUAAAAGCUAAAAAUACUAAAAAAUUAGAAAAGGUCCGAAGAAUGUGAGGAUUCCUCACAUUCUUCGUACCGUCCCAAAUCUUCACUUAUUUGAAGUUUUAAAAAUUUUGUUGGACUUCAUAUGCCUUGGAUAUUGUCUAAAUAGGUUGAGUCCACUUAGGUGGUGUUCGAAUGAGUCCUGGUAAAAUUAAAAGCCAAAAAUAUUAAAAAAUUAGAUAAGGUACACAGAAUGUGAGGAAUCCUCACAUUCUUCAUACUCUCCCAAAUCUCCACUUCUUUGAAGUUUUAAAAUUUUUUUGGACUUCAUUUGCCUUGGAUAUUGUUUAAAUAGGUUGAUUCCACUUAGGCGGUGUUUGAAUGAGUCCUGGAAAAAUCCAAAUCCAAAAAUAUUAUAAAAUUGGACGGGGUACGAAGACUGUAAGAAAUCCUCACCAUUUUCCGCUUGUAUGAGGGUGUGAAAUGGAUUCUUCAAAAUUCAAAAUGGAAAUAUACGAAAAAAUAUUGUGAGGCGUUUUGAUUUCCAUAUGGUUAGUAAUUAUACAUUUUUCGUAUUUUCAAUAUUUCAAUUAAUUUUUUUGUGUAAUUCAAUUUAAACGCUAAGAAAUAAUUUGGUCAUAUAUUAUCAAUUAAUAAUUAGUACACAAUUAAUUUAAUAUAAAUUUAAUAUUUAUAUUUUAUAUCAUUUAUUUAUAUUUUUUCUUUUUUUUUCACUUCAUAAACAAAUUAUAUUGCUUUUCACACUUCAAAUAUUUUUCAAAUUUUGUCAACAAAUUAUUUGAUGUUAAAAUAAAGUAUAUUUACUUUUCCUUAAUUUAUAAAUUUUAUCACCAAAUUAGUUUGAAUUUUUUUUAUUUAAAAUUUAAUUUUUAUCUUGGGUUUAAUCACUUUAUAUUACAAAAAAAAAUGCUAUUUAUUUUUUCAAAUUUCUCUUUAUUUUUCUGUUGCACAAAAAAAAUUCCCCAAACAAAAUAAUUACAUUAAACAGGAAUUUAUAAUUGGUUGUUGUAAUGGAUGUAAAAAUGUGUGUUGCAUGGGAUUAAUUCCCAUGGCAACCGGUUACCAACCUGAAGAAUUGGUUUUGUAUAUUAUUUUUCCAUGCCAUGUGUCUUCAUCUUGUGAGUCCAAAAAAGUGGGUAUGGUACCGAAAAACCACUUUUCGGUACCCUAGCAUAACCCUAUAUUAUAUAAGCAAGCAUGCAGACCAUGUUCCACAAUAAUAUCAUAUAUUAUAUAAGCAGCCAAACAAGACUUCUUCCUUCCAAGCAUGCAGACCAUAUUCCGCAAUAAUAUCAUAUAUUAUAUAAGCAGCCAAACAAGACUUCUUCCUUCCAAGCAAGCAAACCAUAUUCGACAAUAAUAGUUAAUAUUAUAUAAGCAUAAGUUCUUCUAUGUUUCCUUCUUCAUUGACGAGGUUGACAUGAUUUUUUAUGUUUUUUGUUGAGAUUGUAAUUUUUAGAUUAAACAUGAAAUGUUUUCUUACAUUCUAUUUACUUUUCUUCACUAUUGGUAGCAAAUUUUAUUUUUCUAUCCCGAUGGAAAUACCUAAUAUUGUUAUGAAUCAUGAAAAAUCAUAUCAAUCUCAUAUUUGUUGUUUGUGCUUGAUAGUAGGAUUUUCUUAAAUUUUGCAUUUUAAAUAUUUUUUUUUGGACUUCCCUCAUGUCUAGUACCCUACUUAAAAAUAAAAUAAAAUAAAAUAAAAAUAAAAAACAAUUAUUAACUUAAAAUUCUUCCAUAUUUAACCAUUUUUAAAAUGCGAGAAUUAAGCAAAUUGAGUAAUAUUCUCUUUGUUAGUUUUUAAGUGCUAAUCAAUUGAAGGUAAUCAUUCGGAAGGGGAGUGAAGUGGGGAUGGUCACUUUUUCAAAAUUUAAUAAUUAUAAAUACACAUAAAAUAUAAAUAAUAAUAUAAUAAAUCAAUAUAAGGAUAAUUUUCAAAUAAAUAAAGUAUGGAGGGGGACAUGCAAAUACUAAUUUUUAUAAUGGUUUAGCGUAACUUGACUUACACUUAUAUUCACCCUCCUCAAAUUCCAACCGAGUGAAUAUUCAACUAAUAAGGCUUCCAACUAAGCCUUCAAACUUAACCCAAUAAGAUAUAAUAUGCAAAGAAAUAUUGAAGUAAUAAUACUAAACAAAUCUCUUUAUAAAGUAGUUAGGAUUUCACAGAUGUACUAUUCGCAAUAAUAUUAUAACAUUGUAGGAAAAAAUUAAGGGAUUUUCAAUAGAUAAUUCUCAAAAACAAAGGUGAUUAAUUGUGUUUACAAGAAAAAAAAAUUAUUAUUUCUCUUCAAAAAUGAGCUUAACAAGGGACCCUUUUUUUUUUUGUCAAAAUUAGAAUAGAGUUUGAACACAUUAUUUGAAUCAACAUCUUUCCAAAAGUCAAGAGUGAUGGAAGGCAAAACCCAUCACUUGGUUGGCUGAUUCUUACCUAAUCAAAUGAACUACUCUUAUACAUUGUUUCUAGAAAGAAGUCUAAGAAAAUGUAUGGCACAAUGCAUGUGAUGGGAUCCACCACUUCUAGAGCAAAGUCUCAACUUCCAUGUGAACUCUAAGACCUCUCAAAAUCUUUUUUUUUUUUAUUAUUAUAUUUUUAAAUUAUUAUUUUCACAACAUUAAUUGCUUUAAUAUUUAAUGUUCCUUUCUCCUCUUUUUCUUUGAUAAUAGUGAAAUAUAUAUAUGAAAGCAUGUCUUCGUCAAUAAUUUAACUUUAGUUUUUCCAUUUUUAUGGAUAUCCAAAUAAUAAAAAAAUUAUGAUUUUUUGUUUCUCUCUUUUUCCCUAUAAUUUUUUAAUUUAUUUUUAUUUUCUCUAACUUUCUGAAAACAAAAUAUAACCUAAAUUUUUAUAUAGUCAAUUUGCAGCUAUGGGCAUAUGUCUUGUUUUAGAGUUUUUUAUGACAAUAUUUAAAUUAGCCUUGAAAUUUGGAAGUUAAUCCUAAAUUUUAGGUUGCGAAAGACCACAUUUUCUAUAAGCCCAACUAAAUAGAAACACAAAAAUAAUUCAUAUAGGUUCACUCAAAUUGAAUAAAACUCAUAUUUAAAAUAAGUUGAAUAAAAAAAACUUAAAUACAAUUGUCAUCACAAUAUUACAAAAAUGAGCUUAACAAGAGACUCUAUUUUUUCUUUUUCAAAAUAAACAAAUUUAAGAAGGAGAUUUAAUGCAUUAUUUGAAUCAACAUGUUACCAAAAAUUAAAAUCAAAAAUAAAAAUACAAAGAAUAAAAAGUUAAGAGUGAUGGUACACAAAACCCCACUAUUUGAUUGGUUGGUUUCUAUCUAAUCAAAUGCAUUAUUGUUGGGAUAAAAGAACCCUACCGGUAUGUGUAACGCCCAAGUUUUCAUUUUAAAGGGUAAUUUAGGAAAUUCUUAAUAAUGAUAUUAAAUUAAUUAAUUAAUUAAUUUAAUAAAAUGGAAGAGGGGUGAAAAGGUAAUUUUACGAAUAAUACCCUAGGUAUAAAUAGAAAAUUAUCUUCUUCCUGUUCUUUUUUGAAUCAUAUUCCUGUUCGCAGAGAAUUUCUAGAGAACGUGAAGUUAAGAUCAGAUUUCAAGGUUUGAAGAACAAACCUCUAUAGGUAAGUUUCUAACCUCUAUAUUAUUAUUUUAGAUUCAUUAGUUAAUUUCAAGCACAUUAGAUAUAUUUUUUUUGGAAAACCCCAAAUCUAGAUUAGGGUUAGAUUAUUUUUUUUUUAAUUCGUUUUAAUAUUAAAUAGUGAAAAUUUAAUAUUUUGAUUUAUUAUUGGAAUUGGGGAGAUCUUAAGUUUUUUUUUAUUAGAAAAAAAGAAAAUUCCUAUGAAAAUUUCGAUUUAGAUUAGGGUUAGUUUAUUAUUAUUAUUAUUAUUAUUAUUUCGUUUUAAUAUCAAAAUAGUAAAAAUUUAAGAUUUUGAUUUAUUAUUGGAAAUUGGAAAUUCUUAAGCUUUUAGAAAAAAAAAAAAAAAAACCUGGAAGAUGCGUGUGCACACUGUAGAAUUGGAGAAUGGUUUAAGGAUUAAAAGAAAAAAAUAGAGGACGCGUGUGCUCACUGGAAUUGGAGAAUGAAAAAAAAAUAAUAUAUUAUAUAUAUGGGUGUGGGUGUGUGUACGGAUGGAGGGAUGGGUGGUGUUUGGUAGUUAAUGUACAUAUAUGUAUAUAUAUUAUUAUAUUGACAAUGGAUAAAGUUUAUGUUUAAAAAAAAAAAAAAAGAGAAUAGAAGUUUUAAAUAAAAGAAAGUAAAGUUUUUUUUGGUAUUAUAAUUAUACUAAUAAUGAGUAUAAGUUAAUAAAUAACAUAGAAAUUAAUUAGUGAAAUAAAUUAUAGUUUAAUUAAAUUAAGUUGUGUCCCAAAAAAAAAAAAAAUUAAUUUGAAUACCUAAAAUUUUAGGAUUGACAAACCUGUAAUUUUAGAUAAAUAGUAAUGGUUAUUUCUCUUAUAUUUGUUAGGUGAAGAGUAGAUUUUCAGGAUUAUUUUUCUCCAAAGUUUUUGAGGACUUCUUUUGAGGUAAGGGAAGUUAAUGUAAUAUUUAUAAAAUUAAAUUAUUUCAUAUGUUAUUUUGAAUUGUGGAAAAUAAAAUGAUAUUUUGUUACCAUGCAUGGAUCAAAUUGUUUUGCACUAAAUGUUAUGUUGGAAUAUUUUGUUUUAUUUAUGACACAAAAUAUGGAGAUAUUAUGUUGUGUAAAUUUGAAUACUUGAACAAAAACAUCACUCUGGUUUAUUUGGCCCUUGUCAACGGGAUAUAAUAAUUGACUAUUUGGCCCUAUCAACGGGAUAUAAUAAUUGACCUUUACAUUUCAUGGUGGGAAUGUAAUUGAUUUGGACCCCAGCCUCUAGGGGUUUGGUUAGAGGUUACUAGUACUAGUAGCGUUUGGUUCCGUCCACCAGGAACAAUUUGAGGCUAGCCACCCAUUUGAAAAGUCCCACCUAACUGGGCAUUUGAUAUUUGAUAACCAGAGUAAUGAAACUUGAAUGAAUUUGAUUGAAUCUUAUGUGAAAGUGUUUGAAUUUGAUAUGAAAUUGGUUGGUUGAAUUUUGAAUAUAUUGGUAUUUUUGGAACUCUGAUAUUUGAUAAGAAAAAAAAAAUUUAUAUCUCCUAUUUGAAAUGAAAAUAUUUGAUCCAUGAAUUGCAUUAAUAUUCCUUAUUGGGCUGUGAGCUCAUUCCCAAUUGUUGAAAAUUUUCAGGUACUCUUAGUUCGGGUGAGGAGUGAUGGCUAGGCUGAAGAAUGGUCAUCAUUAGGAUUUGACUUAGGAUUUUAUGUUGGAUUUUGUUUAACUGUUAGUUAUGUUCAUUUGGAUCAUUUGAUAUUUGAAAGUUAUUUGGAAAUUGAAUUUUGAGGAAUUUAGAUUUUGUUCCGCUACUCUGAACAAGUAUUUGGUAAUUGGUAACAUCUAGUUACAAUAUGAUUGUUCGGGUCAGAUUAUACUUUAAGCCUUCGGGUUUGAGGUGUGAAAUGACCGUCACGCCCUUGGAGUGGGUCUUGGGGCGUGACAGUAUGUGAUGGGAUCCACUACUUUUGGAGUGAACUCCUGUAAACUCUGGCUGCUCAACAUUUCUUUAUCCUUAUUUUAAAAAAUUUAACUAUUAUUUUCACAACAUUGCUUGAAGGAAGUUGUUUUUUUUCAUAUUUUUCUUAGAUAAUAAUAAAAAAGUUUGGAAAAAGUUCCUUCCUCAAUAGUUCAUUUUUCUUUAAUUUUCUCAUUUUUCCUUUUCAUUAUUUAAUUUUGAUGAAAACAAAAUGAUAGCAUCCAUCGGAACACCAUUUUUAUGUCUAUUUGUCUUAGGGUAAGUGCUAUUGCAUUUCUAUGUAUAUUUGGUUUUAUUUCAUAUGACUCAAUUUACAUAAAACCUAUAGUUAAAAUAAGUUGACCAGAAAAAAAGGGGGUAAACACAAUUGCUAUCAUGAUAUUACAAAAAUAAAGUUUAACAAGUGACCUUAUUUUUUCUUUGUCAAAUUAAGAAAAGAUAUUUAGUGUAUUAUUUGAACUAAUCAAAUGCAUUAUUGUUAGGACAAAAGAACCCUAUAUGUGAUGGGAUCCACUACUUUUUGAGCUGACUCCCAACUUCCAUGUAAAGUCUAGGGCCUCUCGACAUUUUUUUAUGCAUUCACUUGUUUUUAUUUUUGUUUUUAUUUUUAACUAUUAUUUUCACAACAUUGCUGUAAAGAAGUUGUUUUUCUUUUCAUAUUUUUCUUAGAUAAUAGUAAAAAAGUUUGAAAAAAGUGGCUUCUUCAACAGCUUAAUUUUUUUUUUCUCACAUUUUCAAUGGAUAUCUAGACCAAAGAAAUUCUUUUAUAAAUUUUUCUUCUCAUUUUCUUUUAUCUUUUAUCUUUUUUAACAUUUUUUUUCAACCUUUUAAAAACUAAAUAUAACCUAAAGAAAAUAAUAAUAAAUAUAAAAACAAAUACAUAAGGAAAGACUUUUAACAUAAUUUUUUAUUAUAAAAAUCAUUGAAGUGCACAAAUAAACCUAUAUAUAAAUGAUUGGGAAGCUGGAAUCCUUUGUUCUCAAGAAUCUUUAAUGAUUGGGAAAUGGAAGAGGUGGAGGGCUUGCUUCAAAAAAUACACCCUCUGGUUUUGCAUAGUGAUGUGGAGGAUGUUUUAAGCUGGAAGAUUGGUAAGAAUGACUCUUUCUCUGUUAGAUCUUGAAAAUGUGAAUCUCAAUAAUGAACUACACCUAGAGGGGGGUGAAUAGGUGUUGUAGAACAAUUUUAAAAUUCUCCCAAUAAAGAUUACCUAACCUUAAUAAAACAUCCACAAGCAACAAUGUAUGCAUCAACACUCUCCCAACAAUUUAUAAAUGCAAAACACAUGCAAAUGCUUCAACACUCCUCAAAAAUAAAACAAAAUAUAGAGUGAGAGAAAGAGACACCAGAUUUUUAACGUGGAAAACCUCCGAAGAGAUCAAAAACCACGGGCCUAUCACCGAUUGAAAACUCCACUAUGAAGAAUAAAAAACUGAGUACAAGGUUUUACCUAGCUCAAGCCAACCAAUCCUUCCCGGAAUACUUGACUAGUACCUUCAUUUUCAGCUUCUCCUUUUGGAGCACACUUGGAGUCCGCACCAAGCUCAAUCUCGGCCUCUUCUUGAAUCCACACAAGAAGAAAAUGGGUUUUUGCACAACCCAAAUAGAAUGAGAGAUUUAGAUGUGAAUGAAAGAAUGAAUCAACCCAUUUAUUGCUCAAGAAAAUCCAUUGAAAACAAGUUUUGAAAACAUUAAGAGAAGUUGAUUUUCUUUGCAAUCAAAAACCCCAACUUAGGAAAGCAAAAAUGAGAAAUGAAGAACACUUGGGAGUGUGGCUGCUCUCCCCACGUUUUCAGCAGUCUCUCUACACAGAAAAUGAGAGAAGAUUGGGUUUUAAAGUGUAAAAAGAAACCCUUAAUCUAAUGGCUGAGAUUUGAUCAAAAAAACAUUAGUUGGAUAGAUCCACCCCUACACCUGGAUCGAUCCAGAAACAGAGGAAUAAAAGCCUUGCACCAAAAACCAUUUUUUCCAACUUUCUAACACAUUUUAAAGAUUAAAAACCGGGUUGAUUCACACCCAAUCACUCCACACUCGACUACAUACCUUGGCCUCUUAGCAAAGUCUUAGUCUUCAAAGUCAAGUAGUCCGAAUAGGAAUAGGAAAGCCGAGUUAGGGGACACUUAGGAAUUUUGUCCGGAAUUGCCAACCUAGCUAAACACUCACAGAUCUCUCUACCAAUCCCUCACAACUACCUCUAGUGAACCUUUUCCUUGGAGCAUCAUUUGGAGAUCUUGGGCACCCGUGAGAGUUAGUUUUUUUGCUUGGGAAGCGUCUUGGAACCGAAUUUUGACCACUGAUCAGCUUAAAAGAAGGGGCUGGAUACUAUCAAAUAGAUGUUAUUUGUGUAAAAUGGAAGAGGAAACUAGCGACCACUUGUUCCUAUUCUGCAAGAAGGCUAUAAUGUUAUGGAGCUUGCUUUUCUCCCUUUUUGACGUGCAGUGGGUCCUACAUUCCUCAAUCAAAAGGAAUUUGAUAGCUUGACAUGGUGCUUCUAUGAGCAAGGGAAAGGAAAAAGCUUGGAGGGUUGCUCCCCUUUGUUUAAUGUGGAUAUUAUGGAGGGAGAGAAAUGAAAGAGUGUUCAAUAACAAUGAACGUACCGACCAAGCUCUAAAACUCUCUUUUUUGUACACUUUUGUGAAUUGGGGUAGGGUAUAUUUAGAGAAUCAUUCUUUGUCAUUGUUUGACUUUAUAGAAUGACUUUUGUCUAGAUAAAAUAAAGGUUUUUCUUUUUGGCUUAAAUCCUUGGGCGUUACUUGUAUACUUCGUGUCUACUCUUUUCGCCUUUCUAGGCUUUUAUAAUACAUCCUCUUAUUUGCCUAUAAAAAAAAAACACCUAUAUAUAAAUGAACUUUCAUUGUUUUAAACGUUAAUUAUUAUUGAUAUAACAAAAUGUAGUAUAAAGAAAAUAUAAUUUUACAAAAUUUAUCCAUUAAUCCAAAUGAAUAAGAAUUAAAUGGUGUAAAACAAUUUUCUAUUUUUGAUUAUUUUAUUUUAUUUUAUCUCAUUAUUAAAUUUUGAUGGUAGAAAAAUGGUGGCAUCCAAGAGAACACUAUUUCUAUGUCUAUUUGUUUUACGGUAAGUAAGUGUUAUUAGUGCAUUCCAAAUAAAAUAUAAAAAAAUUUAAUAAUGUUUAUUGCUAGAUUUAAAUUUGACAUAACCAAUAUGCAGUUAUAAACAUAUCUUUAUUGUUUUAGAACUUUUUAACCUUGAAAUUUUGAAUUUAUCCUAAAUUUUACAUGGGGUAAGACUAUAUUUUCAUAAGCUCAAUUAAAUAAAUGCACCAAAAUUUUUUGUUUGAGGUUAACUCAAAUUCAACUAUUUAAAGAAGUAACGGCAAUUCAAAUAAUUUUUUCCAAAUUCAUUUUAAUUUAUAACCCACCUUCUAAAGGAGUUCUCGAUUUCUACCAAUUACUUCAAAUUUACCUUAUUUUAUAUCCCAUAUUUUCAGAAGUCAAUUUACUUCCAACCACACAGAUCCCACGAUAAUAUUAUAUGUCAUCUUAAAUCCAUAUCCAUUUGAUUGGUAGGAUAUUAUCUCUUCAUUUUUAUUUUUUUUUUAAGUUGACGUUGACUCAAGUCAAUCCCCUCUCUCCAUAUAUAGAUGUAUCAGUCUGAGAUCACUUACAGCCUUCUGAUCGUCUCUCAUCGUCUCUCUAGCUACACUUCCGUUCCAUCUACUUUCCAUCCUCUGCAGUAUUAUUUUCUUUGCUAUUUCAAAUAUGGCUGAACAAAUUCCAUUCGGUAUUGCUGAGAACCUUUUGAUGAAGCUGGGCUCUGCUGUUUUCCAUGAAAUUGGAUUAAUGUAUGGUGUCCGAGGUGAGCUGAGUAAGCUUAAGGAGAAACUGUCCACCGUCGGAGCUGUGCUUCUUGAUGCUGAGGAGAAGCAGGAGAGCAGCUGCGCAGUAGCAGAUUGGGUCAGGAGGCUUAAAGAUGUUGUGUAUGAUGCUGAUGACUUGUUGGACGACUUUGCAACCGAAGACUUGAGGAGAAAGACUGAUGAUCGUGGAAGAUUUGCGGCACAAGUGAGUGACUUCUUCUCACCUUCGAAUCAACUUGCUUUUCGAUUUAAGAUGGCUCAUGGAAUAAAGGCUAUUAGAGAAAGGCUAGAUGAUAUUGCAAAUGAUAUCUCCAAGUUCAAUUUAAUUUCCAGAGUUAUGUCUGAUGUCCGGGUAAGGAAUAAUGGGAGGGAGACGUGCUCUGUUGUGGAGAAAUCUCAUAAAAUUGUGGGUAGAGAAGAAAACAAAAGGGAGAUAAUAGAGUUGUUGAUGCAAUCAAGUACUCAAGAAAAUCUGUCAAUGGUUGUGAUUGUAGGCAUGGGGGGCUUAGGCAAGACCACCCUUGCUCAGUUGGUAUACAACGACCAAGGGGUGGUAAGCUAUUUUAAUCUUAGCAUGUGGGUCUGUGUUUCCGUUGAUUUCGAUGUUGAAGUACUCGUUAAAAACAUCUUAAUGUCUGCGACUAAUGAAGAUGUGGGAAACCUACGCUUAGAACAAUUGCAAAAACGUCUGCAAGAAAAGUUAGAUGGGAAGAGGUACUUGCUUGUGUUAGAUGAUGUCUGGAACGAGGACAAAAGGAAAUGGGGUCAGUUCAUAACCUUAUUGCCUGUUGGUGCAAAUGGGAGUAAAAUCUUGGUGACCACUCGAAGCACAAGAGUUGCAUCAGUUAUAGGAAUUGAUUCCCCAUAUAUUGUGGAAGGUCUUAAAGAUGACGAGUCUUGGGAUUUGUUUGAAAGUCUUGCAUUUAAAAAGGCAGAAGAGCAAAUGCACCCAAACCUUGUAGCCAUAGGAAAAGAUAUUGUAAAGAUGUGCAAAGGAGUUCCUCUUAUCAUCGAGACUUUAGGCAGAAUGUUGUACUUCAAAACCCAAGAAAGCCAUUGGUUGAGCAUUAAAAAAAAUAAAAAUCUUGUACAUCUUGGAGAAAAAAAUGAUAUUUUACCGAUAUUGAGGUUAAGCUAUGACAAUCUCCCCGUCCAUUUGAAACAAUGUUUUGCCUAUUGUGCAUUGUUUCCCAAAGAUUAUAUAAUUAAAAAAAAGUUGUUAGUACAACUAUGGAUGGCACAAGGUUACCUUCAACCAUAUGAUGAGAAUAUAGAUUUAGAGGAUGUUGGUAAUCAAUAUUUUGAAGAUUUAUUGUCAAGGUCAUUGUUUCAAAAAGUUGAAAAUAAAUAUGAUAACAAUAUGUUAAGUUAUAAAGUGCAUGACUUAAUUCAUGAUCUUGCACAAUCCAUUGUAAAUUCGGAGGUUAUCAUUGUUACUGAUGAUGUGAAGAUCAUUUCACAAAGAAUUCAUCAUGUGUCAUUAUUUACAAAACACAAUGAAAUGCUCAAGGGUUUAAUGGGCAAAUCCAUCAGGACUUUCUUUAUGGACGCCGGCUUUGUGGAUGAUCAUGAUAGUUCUAUAACUAGACUCCUUUCAAGCUUAAAAGGUUUGCGGGUAAUGAAGAUGAGUUUCUUCUUACGACAUAAGGCUCUGUCAUCUUUAGGAAAACUAAGUCAUCUAAGAUAUCUUGAUCUUUCUUAUGGGUGGUUUGAAAACCUCCCAAAUGCUAUUACAAGAUUGAAGCAUUUACAGACAUUGACGCUUUUCAAUUGUAUACGUCUAAAAGAAUUGCCGAGAAAUAUGAAAAAAUUGAUCAACCUGAGGCAUCUUGAGAUUGAUGAAGUAAAUAAAUUAAGUUAUAUGCCACGUGGUUUGGGAGAUUUGACUAAUCUUCAAACCUUGCCAUUAUUCUGGGUAAGGAAUGAUGGUGGGGAAUCCAGGCACAAGAGAAUGGGUAGGUUGAAUGAACUGAGAUUCCUUAACAAUCUCAGAGGACAACUACAAAUUAAAAGGCUUUCAAAUGCAAGGGGCAGUGAAGCUAAGGAAGCCAUGUUGGAGGGUAAACAGUACCUUGAGUGCUUGAGAUUAGAUUGGUGGAAACUACCAGCUACCCAGGAGAGUGAGGAGGCAAUGUUAGUAAUGGAAUGCCUGCAACCACAUCCAAAUCUGAAGGAGCUCUUCAUAGUUGAUUACCCAGGUGUGAGAUUCCCAAAUUGGAUGAUGAAUGAUGGGUUGGAUUUGCUGCUCCCAAACCUAGUCAAAAUACAAAUAUCGUCUUGCGACAGAAGCAAAGUUCUGCCACCUUUUGCACAACUCCCUUCUCUUAAAUAUCUAGAACUUUCCAAUCUAAUAGCUGUGGAGUGCAUGAUGGAUUACCCUUCAUCAGCAAAGCCAUUCUUCCCAUCUCUGAAGACACUCCAACUUUCUGAUUUGCCUAAUUUGAAGGGAUGGGGAAUGAGGGAUGUAGCAGCAGAGCAAGCUCCUUCAUAUCCUUAUCUUGAGGAUCUACGGCUGGACAACACCACUGUGGAGCUAUGCUUACAUUUGAUCUCUGUCUCUUCUUCAUUGAAGUCUGUGUCUAUUAGACGCAUAAAUGAUCUGAUAUCUCUGCCAGAGGGGCUUCAACAUGUUUCCACCCUACAAACUCUCACAAUUAGGGGUUGCUCUAGUUUGGCAACUUUACCAGACUGGAUCGGCCGCCUCACAUCACUUUCAGAGCUUUGCAUUGAAAAGUGCCCUAAUUUAACAUCACUGCCAGAAGAGAUGCGAUCCCUCCGCCAUCUACACACACUUAAAAUCAAUGGAUGUCCAUACUUAUAUGAAAGAUGCCAAAAGGAAACUGGUGAAGAUUGGCCUACGAUUUCUCAUAUUCCCGAAAUUAUCAUUCGGCGAUGGUGAAGCAGAUAUGUGAAGCUUGCCUUGUCUCUUUAAUGAAUGCGUCAUCCACAAUAAAUUUCGGUAUGCAAUCCAAUUUCUAGUUGUUUGCUGUGCUUUUUGUUAUUUGUUCGCACUUCACCUGUUAUAUAAAAUGCUUAGCUUACCAAAAUGCCCUGUUACUCGGUGUUUGCAGUUUACACAUUUGCAUUUUACUGCCGUCGAAUGUAUUGAGGUGAACCCCCACCACAUGUUGAAUUGAUUGGUAGUGUGAAGAAGACCAUUGAUGUAUAUAGGUGUAGAGUAAGGUGUUUUUUCCAUAGGGACUGCCACAAGCAAUUUAAUUUCUUUUUUUUUUUUUUUUGAAUGUUGAUUCUUAUAAGAUAGAACCAAAAGCAUAAAAUAAAAUCUAAUGCUUAUUUAGAGUUUUUUUGUAAUAUAAACAAGUGCCUAUCGCAAAGAAAGAACAUAGCAUAUUUUUGUGCAAUUUUAAAUUAUUCAUCGUUCUAUGUGUUUCCAAUCCAAUUUGUAUGGUUGUUUUUGCAGGGUUUAUGUUUUGUUACUUUACAAUUUAUCUCUUAAGAACCUUAUAUAUUAUGUUUUGCUAAUUUCAAUAUGUAAUAGCAUAUGUGAGGAAAAAGGUUUUUCAAUUUGUUUUCCUUCACUUUGUUGCAUGUCUAUGUUCUUUUACUCAUGAAUACAAUUGGGACUGUAAAUGCUAUGUUCGGUUUUCUUGUAGUUAUUCAGAAUAUCACUUGGGAUGUGCAUAUAAUACUUUCUUAUUAUAGAAGUCUUUGCCCUAGUUAUAAAUUAUGAUUUGAUUUUAUAUUUUUGGAUUGAAAAAUGCUUGUAAUUCUUUUCGCUAGUCUAAUUUCUUGAUGAUUCAUUCUAUUAAGCCAACACCCUUUAAUAUUCCUUAAAAAAAUGUUGACAAGCGGAGGAUAACCGAUGCAUAUGGAACGAGUUAGCUCACUUACAUCACAUUCCCAACCUAUACUCUUUUUAGCAUGUUGUCCAUACUUUGUCUCCACUAUUCAGGUUUAGAAUUGACUCCUCUCCUUUUGCUCUGAAUUGUUUACCCCUUUCAUUCAUUUACUAAAAUUUUUUGUACUCCUUCUGAUGUUUUGAUCUUUUUUUUUUAACUCUUAUUUGAAGUAGAACAACAAUAUACCACUUGAGCAAGGAGCACAUAUCAUUGAAUCCAUGUGGUAAGUGGUUAAUUCUCGUCUCUCAAGUUUCUUGAUCGUGGGAAUCUAAAUGCUUUGGGGUGCAUGGAUAACAAUAGCGACAUAUCUCCCUCAUUUUCAUUGAGAGGCAAGUUGGUUUGAGGGGAGUAUAAAAUAAGGAGAACUAGCAGGACCAUUCUUCCCAUUCCUGCCAUGAUGGAGGAAAAGAGACGGUGGAGGGAUAGUAUCAAUAUCACUAGCAAAACAACAAAUUUGAAGGGAUUACCCAUCAUCAGCAAAGCCAUUAUUCCCAUGUCUGAGGACACUCCAACUUUUUUAUUUGCCCAAUUUGGAGGGAUGGGGAAGGAGGGAUGUAGCAGCAGAGCAAGCUCCUUCAUAUGCUUAUCUUGAGGAUCUACAGCUGGGCAACACCACUGUGGAGCUACGCUUACAUUUGAUCUCUGUCUCUUCUUCAUUGAAGUCUCUGUCUAUUAGACGCAUAAAUGAUCCGAUAUCUCUGCCAGAGGGGCUUCAACAUGUUUCCACUCUACAAACUCUCAGAAUUUCCGGUUGCUUUAGUUUGGCAACUUUACCAGACUGGAUUGGCAGCCUCACAUCACUUUCAUACCUUUCCAUUCAAUACUGCCCUGAGUUGAGAUCACUACCAGAAGAGAUGCGAUCCCUCCGCCAUCUAUACACACUCGAAAUCGGUGGAUGUCCAUGCUUAUAUGAAAGAUGCCAAAUGGAAACUGGCGAAGAUUGGCCUAAGAUUUCUCAUAUUCCCGAAAUUAUUAUUUCGCGACAUUGAAGCAGGUAUGUGAAGCUUGCCUUGUCUCUUUAAUUGAAUGCGUCAUCCACAAUAAAUUUCAAGUAUGCAAUCCAAUUUCCAAUUGUUUGUUGUGCUUUUUCUUAUUUGUUCGCACUUCACCUGUUCGAUAAAAUGCUUAGGUUACCAAAAUGCCUUGUUACUCGGUGUUUGCAGUUUACACGUUUGCAUUUUAUUGCCGUCGAAAUUGUUGUCAUCUCAUUUCUCUCAAAUAUUAUAUAAAUUUCAGAAUAUAAUACUUGAAACUGUUGCACUACUGAUUAUUUAAGGCUUGGAAUGCCUUCAAAAAUUGCAACCAUCAUGCCUCUAGAUGGCCACCCAAGAAAACUAAAGCUCAGGAAACUCAGCCAGGAAUUUAUAUUAAUCAGAACUAGACUCUUAUAUGGAUUUGCUUGUAGUGUUUAACAAUGUUUGGGCUAGAACUUAAAGAAGUGUAGCUCCAUAUUCCUUGAUAGACAUGUUAAUGUAUUGAGGUGAACCCCACCACAUGUUGAAUUGAUUGGUAGUGUGAAGAAGACCAUUGGUGUAUAUAGGUGUAGACUAAGGUGCUUCUUCCACAGGGCUGCCACAAGCAAUCUAAUUUCUUUUUCUUAUUUUUUUUCUUUUUUUUAUGUUGAUUCUUAUAAGAUGGCACCAAAAGCAUAAAAUAAAAUCUAAUGCUUAUUUAGAGUUUUUUGUAAUAUAAACAAGAGUCUAUUGCAAAGAAAGAACAAACAUAUUUCUAUGCAAUUUUAAAUUAUUCAACUUACUAUGUGUUUGCAAUCCAAUUUGUAUGGUUGUUUUUACGGGGUUUAUUUUUAGUUAUUUUACAAUUCAUCUCUUAAGAACCUUAUAUAUAUUAUAUUUUGCUAAUUUCGAUAUGUAAUAGCAUAUGUGAGGAAAAAGGUUUUUCAAUUUGUUUUCCUUCACUUUGUUGCAUGUCUAUGUUCUUUUAUUCAUGAAGAUAACUGGGACUGUAAAUGUCAUGUUCGGUUUUAUUGUAGUUAUUCAGAAUAUCACUUGGGAUGUGCAUAUAAUACUUUCUUAUUAUGGAAGUCUUUUCCCUGGUUAUAAAUUAUGAUUUGAUUUUAUAUUUUUGGAUUGAACAAUGCUUGUAAUUCUUUUCGCUAUUCUAAUUUCUUGAUGAUUCAUUCUAUUAAGCCAACACCCUUUAAUAUUCCUUAAAAAAAUGUUGACAGGUGGAGGAUAACCGAUGCAUAUGGAACGAGUUAGCUCACUUACAUCACAUUCCCAACCUAUACUCUUUUUAGCAUGUUGUCCAUACUUUGUCUCCACUAUUCAGGUUUAGAAUUGACUCCUCUCCUUUUGCUCUGAAUUGUUUACCCCUUUCAUUCAUUUACUAAAAUUUUUUGUACUCCUUCUGAUGUUUUGAUCUUUUUUUUUUAACUCUUAUUUGAAGUAGAACAACAAUAUACCACUUGAGCAAGGAGCACAUAUUAUUGAAUCCAUGUGGUAAGUGGUUAAUUCUCGUCUCUCAAGUUUCUUGAUCGUGGGAAUCUAAAUGCUUUGGGGUGCAUGGAUAACAAUAGCGACAUAUCUCCCUCAUUUUCAUUGAGAGGCAAGUUGGUUUGAGGGGAGUAUAAAAUAAAGAGAACUAGCAGGACCAUUCUUCCCAUUCCUGCCAUGAUGGAGGAAAAGAGAUGGUGGAGGGAUAGUAUCAAUAUCACUAGCAAAACAACAAAUUUGAAGGGAUUACCCAUCAUCAGCAAAGCCAUUAUUCCCAUGUCUGAGGACACUCCAACUUUUUUAUUUGCCCAAUUUGGAGGGAUGGGGAAGGAGGGAUGUAGCAACAGAGCAAGCUCCUUCAUAUCCUUAUCUUGAGGAUCUACAGCUGGGCAACACCACUGUGGAGCUACGCUUACAUUUGAUCUCUGUCUCUUCUUCAUUGAAGUCUCUGUCUAUUAGACGCAUAAAUGAUCCGAUAUCUCUGCCAGAGGGGCUUCAACAUGUUUCCACCCUACAAACUCUCACAAUUGAAUAUAUCUCUGGUUUGGUCACUUUACCACACUGGAUCGGCCGCCUCACAUCACUUUCAAAGCUUCGCAUUGAACACUGCCAUAAUUUGUUAUUUCUGCCAGCAGAGAUGCGAUCCCUCCGCCAUCUACACACACUUGAAAUCUGUGAUUGUCCACUCUUAUAUAGAAGAUACAAAUACAAAACUGGUGAAGUUUCGGCUAUGAUUUCUCAUAUUCCCGAAAUUAUUAUUUCGCGACAUUGAAGCAGGUAUGUGAAGCUUGCCUUGUCUCUUUAAUUGAAUGCAUCAUCCACAAUAAAUUUCAAGUAUGCAAUCCAAUUUCUAGUUGUUUGUUGUGCUUUUUCUUAUUUGUUCGCACUUCACCUGUUCGAUAAAAUGCUUAGGUUACCAAAAUGCCUUGUUACUCGGUGUUUGUAGUUUACAUGUUUGCAUUUUACUGCCGUCGAAAUUAUUGUCAUCUCACUUCUCUCAAAUAUUAUAUAAAUUUCAGAAUAUAAUACUUGAAACUGUUGCAAUACUGAUUAUUUAAUGCUUAUAAUGCCUUCAAAAAUUGCAACCAUCAUGCCUCUAGAUGGCCACCCAAGAAAACUAAAGCUCAGGAAACUCAGCCAGGAAUUUAUAUUAAUCAAAACUAGACUCUUUUAUGGAUUUGCUUGUAGUGUUUAACAAUGUUUGGGUUAGAACUUAAAGAAGUGUCGCUCCAUAUUCCUUGAUGGACACGUUAAUGUAUUGAGGUGAACCCCACCACAUGUUGAAUUGAUUGGUAGUGUGAAGAAGACCAUUGGUGUAUAUAGGUGUAGACUAAGGUGCUAAAUCCGUGGGGACUGCCACAAGCAAUCUAAUUUUAUUUUAUUUUUUUAUGUUGAUUCUUAAAAGAUGGCACCAAAAGCAUAAAAUAAAAUCUAUUGCUUAUUUAGAGUUUUUUGUAAUAUAAACAAGUGUCUAUCGCAAAGAAAGAAUAGAGCAUAUUUCUAUGCAAUUUUAAAUUAUUCAACUUACUAUGUGUUUGCAAUCCAAUUUGUAUGGUUGUUUUUACAGGGUUUAUUUUUUGUUAUUAUACAAUUUAUCUAGCUCUUUAGAACCUUAUAUAUUAUGUUUUGCUAAUUUCGAUAUGUAAUAGCAUAUGUGAGGGAAAAGGUUUUUCAAUUUGUUUUCCUUCACUUUGUUGCAUGUCUAUGUUCUUUUACUCAUGAAUAUAAUUGGGACUGUAAAUGUCAUGUUCGGUUUCCUUGUAGUUAUUUAGAAUAUCACUUGGGAUGUGCAUAUAAUACUUUCUUAUUAUGCAAGUCUUUUCCCUAGUUAUAAAUUAUGAUUUAAUUUUAUAUUUUUGGAUUGAACAAUGCUUGUAAUUCUUUUCACUAGUCCAAUUUCUUGAUGAUUCAUUCUAUUAACCCAACACCCUUUAAUAUUCCUAAAAAAAAUGUUGAUAGGUUGAGGAUAACCGAUGCAUAUGGAACAAGUUAGCUCACUUACGUCACACUCCCAAUCUAUACUAUCUUUAGCAUGUUGUCCAUACUUUGUCUCCACUAUUCAGGUUUAGAAUUGACUCAUCUCCUUAUGCUCUGGAUUGUUUACCCCUUUCAUUCAUUUACUAAAAAAUGUUGUACUUCGUCUGAUGUUUUUCGUCUGAUAUUUUGAUCUUUUUUUUAACUCUCAUUUAAAGUAGAACAACAAUAAACCACUUGAGCAAGGAGCACAUAUUACUGAAUCCAUGAGGCAAGUGGUUAAUUCUCGUCUCUCAAGCUUCUUGAUCAUGGGAAUCUAAAUGCUUUGGGAUGCAUGGAUAACAAUAGCGGCAUAUCUCCUUCAUUUUCAUUGAAAGGCAAGUUGGUUUGAGGGGAGUAUAAAACAAGGAGAACUAGCAGGACCAUUCUUCCCAUUCCUACCAUGAUGGAGGAAAAGAGAUGGUGGAGGGAUAGUAUCAAUAUCACUAGCAAAACAACAGUAACCAACAUUCAUUACCUCUCUAGUUUCCUCGUCUUUUUAUUUUACUUGAGCUGAAAUGCAUGCUGAUAUAUCUAUAUCUUGAUCAGGAUUUAGAUCUGUAUAACAUCUCUUCCACAAGAGGAGCCCUAAGUGCUUACUUCUCCUAAUUUGGUAAGUAUGUUGCAUUAUUGUUUGUUUGUAUGAUUCUAAAUAUCAGUUUUGAAUGAUGAUGAAAAUUUAUGUUUUUCUCUCAUUUUCUCAAAAUUGAUGACAAAUAGAUAAAAGAUUCUUGUGCUCUUUAAUUCUAGCACACCAUACAAACAUAUUUUAGGUUUGCAAAUCACCCCAUAUUCCUUUUCUAUGGGGUUUACUUUUCAUUAUUUUACAAUCUGUCCUUUAAGAAUGUUACACUUUCUUUACAGCUUUAAUGGUUACCAGAGUCUUUGAUGCAUUUCCAAAAACACUCAUAUUAUGCAAGUCCUUUUCAUGGUUAUGAGUCAUGUUUGUAAUUCUUUUGAUUGGAUUUUAUUGGACAAAUUUAUUGCAGAUUUAUUCUAUUGCAGACCAAUACCAAAGGGGUGAUGUUGAGGAUUGGAUAGAUGCUUUUCAAUAUUCCAUAAAUAAAUAUUGACAUGUUAUGGGUACCCGAGGCAUAUGGGAAGAGUUAGCCAUUCAAUUCGAUAUUUAAGCUUUGCAUGUUGUCUAUAACAUGUCUUCAUUAUUCAGGUUUAGGACCCAUUCCUCUCUUUUUUGGUUUUGUUGGUUUAUUUUCUGUUAUUUAAUUUGCUAAAAAUUCUUAUACCUUGUCUUAUAGGAAGGGUGAAACAAGGAGAAUUAACAGGAUUAUUCUUCUCAUUUCUGCCAUGAUGGAGAAACUCAAAAACUAGAUAAACUUAAAACAUAUGUCGAGGUGGUAGUGGCAUUACCAGAUAAACAACAGAAGCUUCAUUCUUGCCAUGUUUUCCUUUUCUUCCUAUUCUCCUUGAGCCGACAUCCAUGCCACUGCAUCUAUAUCUUAAGGAUCCACAGUACCAUCUCCUUCAUUUCCUUUCUCCUUCCUACAUCCAUUGAUGUCUAUGCAUAUUGAUGGCGAUAGAGAAUCCAACAUAUGUUCCAAAAAAAGGAUUUUGGUACAUCAUUUCUCUCUUAAAUUUUGACAUGCCAUUGUUUAUUUGUCCAAGUCUAGAUAUUCGAAAUGUAAAUGCUAAUGGUGGUGAAAUCUUAUGUCUUAGGGAAUUUCAGCAAGUUAAAGAUUUUUAUGUGAAAGUAGGAAUCAAUUCUAAGAACUUGAGAGGUAGCAUUCAAUAUGUAUUCACCUUACUACAGCAAAGAAUCUAACACUUUGGGUAUGUGUUCAUUCUUUAACUUAGGUAAAAUAGAUGGUAAGUCACCUCACUAAGCUUGUUGUUAUUCAUUGUCAAGCUUGAAAUCACUACUAGAGGGAUGUCAAAAGGAAGCAUGUGCAGAUUGAUCUGAUGGCUUAUCAUGUCCCAAGAAUUCAUAUCUACCAGUCUCAAAUAGCUAAUGCACAAAGGACCUAUUCUCUCUUUACAAUUCGGGUGCACUAUCUGCAAUGCAUGUUCUAAGGUUUGCUAUGCCAACUUUUUUUCCUUCUUUUGAUGGCUACUUUAUUUCUUAUUUUCCAUUCAAUUUGUUCCAAUUCUUAUUUUAUAAGUUAUGUAUUGUUGGUGCAUAUGGAAUGAGUAAAUUCACUUGCAUCAUUAUGUCUCUAUUAUUCAGGUAUGUCAGUCCACUCCCUCUUCCCACCUCGAAACUCUUUAUAGCUUAGUUCUUCACUACAAAUUUUGUAAGAACUAUAAAAGCUCAAAUUCAACUAUUGUAUUUUAGUUGUUCAAAGCAAUAAAACAGCAACUAGUUGAGUGAGCGGCUCGUACUACUUGAAGUGCUUGAUUCAAUUUAUUGUUAGGUGCCUAGACAGAGGCCUUUAUAUAUAAUUUUUAACUGAAAACAAGUAAUAUGAUGUUUAGUGUGGAUGUUCUCUUCUAUGACAAAAGAGAGUAAUAAUUUCAUGUUCUUUUGCUCUUCUUUUGUCAGGAGGAAUUAUAUUGCCUAUUGCUAGGGGAAGAAGUUGCUAGAAUCCAAUACUGUGAGAGUGUAAAUUUUGGAGUUUCUUUGUAAUUGCAUUGUAAGAUCAUCUCAUCUCUAAGUGAAAAAACUCUUGGCUACAAUUGAAGCAUUCCAUUAUGUACAUAAUGUUGUUAGCUUGAUUGAUUUGGCAGGCUUAUUUCCCAAGUUUUGUAAUCAAGUUGUUGGUUCCGAUAUCGUUGAACAUUCAUGACGUAUGGAUCUUCUAAUUUGCAGGCUCCUAUGACAUCUUUCAAACUCAACAAAGGUUCAUUCGUAUCUCAAAAAUUGUUAUAGAUUUUACUUUUUAUGCAAGAGACUUCAAAAAUUAAUUCUUGUAUGAUUUUUUGUAGGAAAAAAGAUUGAGCUACAUGAUUGACCUCAAAGCAGAGAGAAUUAAUCAUUUUGAUGAGGUAUAUAUGGUAAGCCUUCAUCAUCAAUUGUCACAUUGUUCUUUAUGAUAAUUUGUGUUUUCUUUUAGUUCAUUCUUAUACAAUUCCUUUAAUAUCGAAAUUGAAAAACAAAGUACAUAAUUUAUUGAGUUGGCUGUUGUAACAUAUAGUUAUGACAUUAUUCAUGUUCUAAAAUAAUUGAAAGCCAAUCCAAGAUGAUUGAUCUAUAUGUUCAAGAUGCUUGAAAGGAGUGUCAUGAGUCUUUUUAUGGUACCAUUUGCAUAUUAGUGUAAGAGUUAUUAUUCUUAAACUAACUUUUUUCUUCUUUUUUUAUUUGGCGGAAUUAUAGGUGAGAAUCAAGUUUAAUCGAACUAUCCUUGGGACUGAUUUUUACUAGAAGAUAACCUCAUAUUUCAUAAUGUCAUUCAUUGUUGGCAUACAAAAGCUCAAUCAUUAAACAACUUAUGAAAUAAAAGGGUGGUCGAUUAAGAGAGGAAGAAUGGAUUCAAAAGUUGAUCUCCACUUCCCGCGCUUUCGAAGGCUUCAAUCAUGA